GAUCCCAGCUGCGUGAGAGCAUUUGCUCCCUGAACCGAGUUGUCUUGCUGCUGUCUCUUCUCACAACCUCGCCGGAAGUAUAAGAAGAGAGCAAGCAGAUUUGAACCUAUCUGCUUUCAAGCUGGUCAUCACGAUGAAACUUAGACACAAAAAUAAAAAGCCAGGUAAAAGUUCAAAGGGCCACAAGAAGCCUGCAAAGCAAAAUGGGAAGAAAGCAACCUCCGAAGUGCCUUCUGCACCUCAUUUGGUUCACUCCAAUGAUCAUGCCAAUCGAGAGGCUGAUUUAAAGAAGAAGAGGGUUGAGGAGAUGAGGGAGAUGCAGCAAGCUGCCUGGGAGCAAGAAAGACAAAAACGCAGGACCGUCGAGAGCUACUGUCAGGAUGUCCUGAGAUGCCAGGAAGAGUUUGUGCGUAAGGGGGAAGUUUUACAGGAAUUAAAUAUGUUUUCUCGGCUGGAUGACGAGGUCACAAGGAAUGCUUAUUACAAGGAGUUCCAUGAAGUGGUGGAAUACUCUGAUGUGAUUCUGGAAGUCCUGGAUGCCAGAGGUCCAUUAGGCUGCCACUGCUUCCAAAUAGAGGAGGCUGUCUUGCGAGCACAAGGCAGCAAGAAGCAGCUGGUCCUUGUCUUGAACAAGAUUGACCUGGUCCCCAAGGAGGCUGUGGAGAAAUGGCUGGAUUACCUUCGGAAAGAGUUGCCAGCUGUGGCUUUCAAGGCCAGUACCCAGCAUCAGGUCAAAAACCUGAAUCAUUGCAGUGUACCAGUACACCAGGCCUCUGAGUCACUGCUGAAAAGCAAAGCCUGCUUUGGAGCUGAAAAACCUCACGAGGGUUCUGGAGAACUAUUGCCGCCUUGGUGAAGUGCGUACGCACAUUCAUGUGAGCAUUGUGGGUCUUCCCAAUGUUGGGAAGAGCAGCCUGAUUAACAGCCAGAAGCGCUGCCGUGCAUGCAGCGUGGGAGCAGUUCUGGGAUCACCAGAUUCAUGUAGGAAGUCUACCUGGGCAAGUUCAUCCGGCUGCUGGAUGCUGCAGGCAUUGUCCCAGGGCCCAACUCAGAGGUGGGCAAUAAUAUCCUGCGUAACUGCGUCCACGUGCAGAAGCUGGCAGACCCUGUGACCCCGGUGGGAACCAUCUUGCAGCACUGCAACCUGGAGGAGAUUUCCAACUACUACCGUGUGUCUGGGUUACAGACCACUGAGCACUUUCUCAUGGCAGUGGUGCACCGUUUGGGGAAGAAGAAGGGAGUCUUACACAGUCAGGAACAGGUGGCCGAAGCUGUCCUAGCUGACUGGGUCAGUGGGAAAAUCAGCUUCUAUAUGCCACCACCACCUACUCACACUCUGCUGGCCCAUCUCAGUGCUGAGAUUGUUAAGGAAAUGACUGUGGUCUUUGACAUCAAGGAUACUGAUAUAAAAGUAUGUGUGUAUUAUAAUAGAUGCAGCAUUAUAGUUUAUAUGUAUUUAAUACAUGAUAUGUGCAACAUUAUUUCUUUUGGAAAGAUUUUCCUGACUCCAGAUUAUAUCAUGCCCGUUUUUGUUUGUUUUCUUUGA